UAUCUUAUAAUUACUCACAAU
rnacentral:piRNA from 1 species